UGGGGGAUAUUGCGCAAUGGAGGAAACUCUGACGCAGCAACGCCGCGUGAAGGAUGAAGGUCUUCGGAUUGUAAACUUUUGUCUUGUGGGAAGAUAAUGACGGUACCACAGGAGGAAGCUCCGGCUAACUACGUGCCAGCAGCCGCGGUAAUACGUAGGGAGCAAGCGUUGUCCGGAAUUACUGGGUGUAAAGGGUGCGUAGGCGGGCUGUCAAGUCAGAUGUGAAAUACCGAAGCUUAACUUCGGGGCUGCAUUUGAAACUGAUGGUCUUGAGUGAAGUAGAGGCAAGUGGAAUUCCUAGUGUAGCGGUGAAAUGCGUAGAUAUUAGGAGGAACACCAGUGGCGAAGGCGACUUGCUGGGCUUUAACUGACGCUGAGGCACGAAAGCAUGGGGAGCAAACA
rnacentral:rRNA from 1 species